AUGGCCACGAUGGGGGGAGACCGAAGGCAGAUGAUGGUGAAUGCGGCGGAGGACAAGUUUCCCGAGGGGUUACGCGUCCUCGUCGUUGACGACGACCGCGUCUGCCUCAAGGUACUAGAAGCCCUCUUGCGCCGCUGGAAAUACCAACCAACAACGGUGAUGGAUGCAAAGACGGCGCUGAGGAUGCUCAUGGCCGGGAAGCAGCAGUUCGACCUGGUCAUCACCGACGUGUGCAUGCCGGACAUGGACGGCUUCAAGCUCCUCGAGCUCAUCCGCCUCGAGAUGGAUCUGCCCGUCAUCAUGCUAUCCCUCGAUUGCGACAAGAAGGUUGUGAUGAAGGGGAUAGAUCAUGGCGCGUCCGACUUUAUGGUGAAGCCAGUGUGUGCCCAUGAGCUCAAAAACAUAUGGCAACAUGUUCAAAGGUGGAGAAAUCCAAAAGCAAUAGGCCACAUCAGCGAUCAUGACAGUGAUGUCCAGAGAGUACAACCAGCGACUGCUGACAAGAGUAAGUACUCGGGGAAUAAGAGAAAUGUUGGAGAUGAUUCUAACGAGAACAAUGAGAGCACACAUAUAUCCUCCACCCACAGAAAGCCCAGGGUGACAUGGACAAUUGAGUUGCAUAACAAGUUUCUAGAAGCUAUCAACCAGAUCGGCCUUGAUAGGGCUGUUCCAAAAAAGGUAUUGGAGCUGAUGAAUGUGGAUUGCCUCAGCAGAGAGAAUAUCGCGAGUCAUCUACAGAAGUAUAGAUUGUACUUAAAAAGAGUCAACUCAAAUCCCUCUAGUGAUGCAUAUGAAAGAAGGAACUCAUCGUACAACAUGAACAACAAGGGCAAUUUAAUGCAUAAUCAUGAACAUGGAAGGUGGAGUGUGUCAUCUGGCGACACUUCGUCUUGGAGUACAAACAAUUAUGGUGCAACGGGUCAUGUGGCUUCGCCGAUGAACAUCCAAAGCAACUUCUACAUGGGGUCAUACCUCCAUGAUGGUAGAAUGUCGAGGUAUGUUGGGAAACAACCAUCGGAUGCGAGAAGAUUCACAGGUUUUGGUGACCCUCCCGUGAGCCUAUACAACAACAUACCCAAUGAGAUAAUGUUAGAUGAAUUUCCUUCAUGCAAUUAUAGUAAUUCCUAUGCUGACCUCAUGCGUGGCAAGCUAAUGGAGAUAAGCAAAGGCAAAACCCCUUCCAAUCUUCAAAGUUCCUUUGCAAACAGAAUAGUUGGUGGCGGGAGGUCGUCUCUCGUCCCACCACAGGAGAGCUAUGCAAUGUCAACUGGCCGGCUGCCUCUGCAAAAUGAAAUGACACCAUUCAUAAGCAAUACCACAUCAAUGGGAGGCAUCAUUGAGCAGAUGGCACCAUUCAACAUGGCAAGCAACACAAGCUCAGUAGGAACGAUGUUGAAUGGUAGCUCUACACUUGAUGCAAGUAGAACUUCAAUGAAAGAUACUCAUGUGGUAAAUAGUGAAAGAACUACUUCGAUGCUUCACAACCUUCAGCCAGACGAUUUCGUCCCAUUGACUCAGCUACUUGAUGGCGGGGAUGGAGCUAGCAUUGUCCCUAUGCAAGAAGGCACACUUGAGCAGCAACCUCUAAAUGAUCAACUGAAUGAAAUCAAUGCCUUAUCAAUGGAUGAUAUGUUUUCCAACAUGCACAUGGAAGAUUUCACUGGAGAUGAUGCUAUCGUGGAAGAAGCAUGA
rnacentral:rRNA from 1 species